CACGCACAUGCCCUGCAGGCCCGUGUCCAGGCCUUCGAUCACCUUGUGGGCGCCCAGAGUUGCCUCCUGAGGGGCCCCGUAGUCGUGGCUGGGGGGAGAGCAGAUUCCCGGCACAGAGCCGCCCCCAGCCCCCACCGUCGUCCUCAGGACCCCCCGGACCUGGAGUCAAAGAGGGUACCAUCCAUCAGGGAGCCGUUGUAGUGGUAACGCAUGAAGUCCCCAGCCACGGCUCUCCGGACGCAGCCAGGUGGCAGCUCCAGUGUCUCCAGCUGGACCGCGUCCUUUGGGUUGUGGACGUCAAUCAGUAGGACUUGGAAGACCAGGGAGGCCUGCGGGGGGAUCACAGUCCCUGGGGAAGGGAUAGGCUUGAAUCAUACACGUGGAGAGCAAAGCAGGGCUCUUCUCCACUCAGGAAGGCCUAUGUGAGCACCGUGCAAAAAGGUGCUAACCCUGCUUUCCAGGGCCUUUGACGCCCAUCAGCAGCCCCGGUUCUUCCCCUGUGAGGCCUGAGCUGAGCUCUCCCCAGGGCCACCACCAGCCCGUAUGAGCCUUUGUGUGAAUCGGAAUAAAGCACCUUUUUUUUUUGGC